UACGAGAGGCCCAAACGUUAUUCGGAUUUACUGGGCUUAAAGAGUUCGUAGGCGGUUCGGUAAGUGAGGUGUGAAAGCCCUCGGCUCAACCAAGGAAUUGCGCUUCAAACUGCCGGGCUCGAGGGAGAUAGAGGUGAGCGGAACUGAUGGUGGAGCGGUGAAAUGCGUAGAUAUCCUGAGGAACACCGGUGGCGAAAGCGGCGCGCUGGAUCCCUUCUGACGCUGAGGCGCGAAAGCCAGGGGAGCAAACGGG
rnacentral:rRNA from 1 species